AGUGGAAUUGCUGGAUCACAUGGUAAUUGUGUUAUGCUUUUUGAGGAACUUUCAUACUAUUUUCCAUAGAAGCCAUACCAUGUUACCUUUUCACCAGCAUU
rnacentral:pre_miRNA from 1 species